rnacentral:rRNA from 1 species
UACGGAGGGUGCAAGCGUUAUCCGGAUUCACUGGGUUUAAAGGGUGCGUAGGUGGGCAGGUAAGUCAGUGGUGAAAUCUCCGGGCUUAACUCGGAACUGCCAUUGAUACUAUCUGUCUUGAAUACCGUGGAGGUUAGCGGAAUAUGUCAUGUAGCGGUGAAAUGCUUAGAUAUGACAUAGAACACCAAUUGCGAAGGCGCUGGCUACACGAAUAUUGACACUGAUGCACGAAAGCGUGGGGAUCAAACAGG